AUGGAACGCUGGCGGCAUGCUUUACACAUGCAAGUCGAACGGUAACGGGGUGCUUGCACCGCUGACGAGUGGCGAACGGGUGAGUAAUGCGUCGGAACGUGCCGAGUAGUGGGGGAUAACGCAUCGAAAGGUGUGCUAAUACCGCAUACGUACUGAGGUAGAAAGUGGGGGACCUUCGGGCCUCACGCUAUUCGAGCGGCCGACGUCUGAUUAGCUAGUUGGUGAGGUAAAGGCUCACCAAGGCGACGAUCAGUAGCGGGUCUGAGAGGAUGAUCCGCCACACUGGGACUGAGACACGGCCCAGACUCCUACGGGAGGCAGCAGUGGGGAAUUUUGGACAAUGGGCGCAAGCCUGAUCCAGCCAUGCCGCGUGUCUGAAGAAGGCCUUCGGGUUGUAAAGGACUUUUGUCCGGGAGCAAAUACCCAGUGCUAAUAACGCUGGGGGCUGAGAGUACCGGAAGAAUAAGCACCGGCUAACUACGUGCCAGCCGCCGCAGUAAAAC
rnacentral:rRNA from 1 species